rnacentral:rRNA from 1 species
AACGUAGACCUCAAGCGUUAUCCGGAUUUAUUGGGCGUAAAGCGCAUGUAGGCGGAUCGGUGCGUCUUCUCUUAAAGCCCAGGGCCUAACCCUGGAAGUGGAGGAGAUACGGCCGGCCUAGAGGAGGUUAGAGGUGCAUGGAACGCACGGUGUAGGGGUGAAAUCCGUUGAUAUCGUGCGGAACACCAAAGGCGAAGGCAGUGCACUGGGACCUUCCUGACGCUGAUAUGCGAAAGCGUGGGGAG